rfam:Sugiyamaella lignohabitans strain CBS 10342 mitochondrion genome.
AAGAGCAUAGUAUAAUGGUAAUACUUCUGACUUCAAAUCAGACAUUAGUGGUUCGAAUCCGCUUGUUCUUG